rnacentral:lncRNA from 1 species
UUGGCUCUAGCAGAAGCAGUGAACAGAGAAACCAACAAAGGGGGAAAGAAAAGCUGACGCAAUGUUUUAAAUCAGAUUACGGAUUACAAACGGAGAGAUCUGAAGUACUUACUGAAAAUUUCGGGUAAUUACUUAAAACUCCAAAUCUGAGUUUUCCAGUAGAAUUCUUUUAAUUUUGCUUAGUGUGUUAUAGGAUUUCAUUGUGUAUAAUAAGUUACUACUGAUUUGGAUGCUAGAAUAAAUAUGGAAAAAAAAAAGAACAUAAGAAGUAACAAACUAAUCGUUUUGGAUCUGAAUUUUAUUCCAAAUUAUUUGGGUGGGACGGCAAAGAUGCCAAAUUCAUAUGUUGUAUUCAUGUAAACGUAAUAUUGAAUUAUCAUUGAAUUUUCCGACUAGUUUACAAGGUUUUGAGAAUUUUGGCCUAGAGAUUUAAGAAUAAAAGUUGAGGAUUUGGAGGUCGAGUUGAUGUCGGAUUUUGAUAAAUUAUGGUUAGACUCGUGAAAUGGGCUUUCGAGUUUUGUAACUUUUGUCGGAUUUUGAGACGUGGGCUCGGGAGCCGGAUUGAGCCAAUAUUGGAUUUUUGGUUCUAAUCUGAUAGUUUUCAUGUGGAAUUGAUCCCUUUAGCCUCUACUAAUUGUAUUGUACGGUUUGUGGGUAGAUUUGGGAUAUUCGGAGGCUGACUCGCGAGGCAAGGACAUUUUAGAGUAGAGUUUCGCUCGGAUUGAGGUAAGUAACGAUUGUAAAUUUGGACCUGAGGAUAUGAAACCCCGGUAUUUCGUACUGUUUUGAUAAAUAAGAUGAUGCACAUGCUAGGUGACGAGCGCGUGGGCGUGCACCGGUAGAGAUUGUGAUUUGGUCCAUCCCGUAGCGACUAUUAAGCCGCGUAUUUUAAUUUAAAAUCUUAUGAUAUUCCGUGUUUUAGUGAUUGAUACUAUACGUUGGGUUGUACGCCGUGUUUGGGGCCUUGUGCCGACCUGUUUAGACUCUUAGGGGUAUUUUUACUACUUUCCUCACUCUGUUUGAUUUGAAAGUAUAUCAUCAGUCAUAUUUUACCUGUUACUUGUUUAAAACCUGUUUCAUCACUCUAUUUCUUAUAUAUAAAAACUGUUUGGGCUGAGUUCCCUAGUUUUUAUUGAUAUGCCCGAGUGGCCGUGAGGUUAAUGACUGAGAGAGGUUUAGGACCUAAUGGUGAGGAUUAUAUAUAUAUAUGGAUCGGGCCGCGCUCCGUAACAAUAUGACGCUUGGGCUGUAGGAGCCCCUCUGAAGUCUGUACACCUCCAGUGAGCGUAGUCGACUAUAUAUUAUGAAUCGGGCUGCACGCCGCAACGAUUAUGAUUAUUAUUAUUAUGAGAUAUUUAUUGAGUUGGAGUGCGGAGUGUGAGUACUGUGUGACGAGAGCUGAGUCAUGAGUGACUGAGAAGCUUGCCCGAUGGGCUAUAUUUACGAGUGAUACUUGGCUCAAGGGGCUUGUUUUUGAUAUUUUGUUGCUUUUACUCUUCUUUUAUAUACUGAGCCUCUAUUGAAAAAUGUUAAAUAAAUGUUUUAAAGGAUUUUGAAUUGAAAUUGGAGUUUACGAGAUAACUGGCUAUUGAACUGCAGAUUUGUUUUGUUAUUUCUGUUAAGAUUUCUUAUAUGAUUUUAAAUGCUCGUCACUGCACUCAGACUUUAUUUACUUUAGUUACUUACUGAGUUGGCGUACUCAUGUUACUCCCUGCACCUUGUGUGCAGAUUCAGGUGCCCGAGCAGCAGAGUGAGAGCUUCCAGCACUCUCAGAGUUUAUCCGGAGAUCGCAAGGUAGCUGCACGGCGUUCGCAGCCUUGCCUUCCUCCUUCCUAUCUUAGUAUUUUGUUAUUUCAGACUAGUUGUAUUAUUCAGACAGUGUUUUGGUUAUACUUAGAGGCUCAUGACUAGUGAUACCAGAUUCGGGUUGUGUUUGAGUAUUUUUGUAUUGGUUUCCGC